UACAGAGGUCUCAACCGUUGUUCGGAUUCAUUGGGCGUAAAGGGUGCGUAGGUGGUCGCGUAAGUCGGAUGUGAAAUCUCGGGGCUCAACCCUGAAACUGCAUUCGAUACUGCGUGGCUAGGGUACUGGAGAGGAGACUGGAAUUUACGGUGUAGCAGUGAAAUGCGUAGAUAUCGUAAGGAAGACCAGUGGCGAAGGCGAGUCUCUGGACAGUUACCGACACUGAGGCACGAAGGCCAGGGGAGCGAACGGG
rnacentral:rRNA from 1 species